rnacentral:rRNA from 1 species
UACGGGGGGGGCAAGCGUUGUUCGGAAUUACUGGGCGUAAAGGGCUCGUAGGCGGCCAACUAAGUCAGACGUGAAAUCCCUCGGCUUAACCGGGGAACUGCGUCUGAUACUGGAUGGCUGGAGGUCGGGAGAGGGAUGCGGAAUUCCAGGUGUAGCGGUGAAAUGCGUAGAUAUCUGGAGGAAUACCGGUGGCGAAGGCGGCAUCCUGGACCGGCAUUGACGCUGAGGAGCGAAAGCUAGGGGAGCAAACGGGG